rnacentral:tRNA from 1 species
AAAGAUUUAAGUUAUAAGACUAAGGGCCUUCAAAGCCUAAAGCAGGGGCUAAAUCCCCCUAAUCUUUGAU